AGUGGAUCUUCGGGGGCUCCUCUUCUCACUGGUUCGUGGGUGAGACAGUGGCUUUCUUCGUCUCCUCGGAUGUGCUCGUGAGACAGGCAGACGACAGUGCUCAGACUCGGCUGGUGUGUACGUUCACAGAACAGUCGGUGGGAGGACAGCAGCUUCACCUCUUCUCCGAGGGACAGACAAUGACGAUGCUCGGGCUCGGCUUGCGUGUGUGUUCGUAGAACAGUCGGAGGGAGGACAGCAGCUUCACCUCUUCUCCGAGGGACAGACAAUGACGGUGCUCGGGCUCGGCUUACGUGUGUGUUUGUUCGUAGAACAGUCGGUGGGAGGACAGCAGCUUCACCUCUUCUCCGAGGGACAGACAAUGACGGCGCUCGAGCUCGGCUUACGUGUGUGUUUGUUCGUAGAACAGUCGGUGGGAGGACAGCAGCUUCACCUCUUCUCCGAGGGACAGACAAUGACGGUGCUCGGGCUCGGCUUACGUGUGUGUUCGUAGAACAGUCGGUGGGAGGACAGCAGCUUCACCUCUUCUCCGAGGGACAGACAAUGACGGUGCUCGGCCUCGGCUUACGUGUGUGUUUGUUCGUAGAACAGUCGGUGGGAGGACAGCAGCUUCACCUCUUCUCCGAGGGACAGACAAUGACGGCGCUCGAGCUCGGCUUGAGUCUCUCGCCACACCGGGCACAAAGGAAAACCUGGACACAGCUUUAGACAGAUCAAUUUAAAGGGAUCUUCAUAUUCAGACGUCAAUUUUCAUUCAUCUCAGUUUCGGAGGAAACAGUCGUUAGACCUCACCACACUCGUGCAUAAAUCACUCUUAGAAAUCCUCACACGUGUACAUUUCACUCUCUCAGACACUGCAAACUCACUUCAUCUCCACAGUGAUUAAUCAACCCGUUUCUCUUCUCGCUGUAGGGUGAAUGACUCCAAGAAUGGCGGUUUCAGAAGAUUGACGUGAACACAUCAGAGAUCCUCCCAGCUGUUCCAAUUACUAUGUUUCGCUCUAUCAACAGGAUAACACACACUGCCCGCAACACAGGUUGCAGCUAAUAUUAAUGGAUCAUUCUAUUCAGGAGAAAGUAGACUGGAACUUGGAUGUCCUGAUACCAAGCUUAAAGACGAACAAAUUGAUAAAGAAACCCUCCUGCUGGACAUCCACUUCCAAAAGUGCACGCCACACUGUUGUCUACAAACUCCCAGGAAAAGAAUCCUCUUCAGUACGACUGCUCCGUGGAUAUGUCAGGUUAAGCAGUACUGGAACCGAAAGAACUAAGACUUUAAAAAAAAAAAAAAUAUGAAGUUUAUAUGAGGAAAGUUCUCGGACUAAUACAUUUCUGCAAAUGUCAACCAAUACCAUGAAAAAAGUUUUUACCAAAGGUUUUACUGUACUAACUGCACCUUAUCAACAAGUGGUGGUUCAAAUACCUGUGUGAGGUCUCUCUUCAAGUUGAGGUAUUAUUGCUUCAGGUUUGUACAUUUUAGUUCACAGAAAUCCUACAAAGUUUGUUGCCUUCCGAAUACGGUGUCCCUUUUUCACAUCCAUAACGCUUGUUUAUUUCCUUUCUUUAAAAUAGAAAUCUUGUGUAUAGAUUGAUAUUUUAUCAUAUUAGUGCAGUUCUAUCAACAAGGGUUUAGUAAAAUAAAAAUAAAUAGUUCAGUAUAUUGGUAACAAAUACCUUCUCUGAGUGUUUUUGCACAUCUAUAAUGCUGGAAUUGUCCUAAAGCAUUUUACUCGUGCCACUUUUUUAACUGUAUUUUGUAAAAAGUUAUGAUUUUUUGAAGUGGAAAGUUGUCUAACUAUUUCUGUUUAUUGGCGCCACUUUAUGCAUAUGUUAAAAUCUAAACUAAUGUAAUUUAUUGAUGUUUAUUUUUUUUAAUAUGUAUCAACAUUAAUUAAGUUACA